rnacentral:rRNA from 1 species
GUGCCAGCCGCCGCGGUAAUACCGGCAGCCCGAGUGAUGGCCGAUAUUAUUGGGCCUAAAGCGUCCGUAGCUGGCCGGACAAGUCCGUUGGGAAAUCUGUCCGCUUAACGGGCAGGCGUCCAGCGGAAACUGUUCGGCUUGGGACCGGAAGACCUGAGGGGUACGUCCGGGGUAGGAGUGAAAUCCUGUAAUCCUGGACGGACCACCGGUGGCGAAAGCGCCUCAGGAGGACGGAUCCGACAGUGAGGGACGAAAGCUAGGGUCUCGAACCGG